UCUCUCUCUCUCUCUCUCUCUCUCUCUCUCUCUCUCACACACACACACAGAGAGAGAGAGAGAGAGAGAGAGAGAGAGAGAGAGA